GUAAGCUGUCGCUAUGGGAUGGCCACGACGGUGCAUUAGCUAGUUGGUAAGGUAAAGGCUUACCAAGGCGAUGAUGCAUAGCCGAGUUGAGAGACUGAUCGGCCACAUUGGGACUGAGACACGGCCCAAACUCCUACGGGAGGCAGCAGUAGGGAAUCUUCCACAAUGGACGCAAGUCUGAUGGAGCAACGCCGCGUGAGUGAAGAAGGUUUUCGGAUCGUAAAGCUCCGUUGUUGGUGAAGAAGGAUAGAGGUAGUAACUGGCCUUUAUUUGACGGUAAUCAACCAGAAAGUCACGGCUAACUACGUGCCAGCAGCCGCGGUAAAU
rnacentral:rRNA from 1 species